CGUCCAGACUCCUACGGGAGGCAGCAGUGGGGAAUCUUCCGCAAUGGGCGAAAGCCUGACGGAGCAACGCCGCGUGAUCGAAUGAAGGCCUUCGGGUUGUAAAGAUCUGUUGACAGGGACGAAUAAGCAAUGCGAAUAGUUUUGUGUAUGACGGUACCUGUUUAGAAAGCUCCGGCUAACUACGUGCCAGCAGCCGCGGUAAUACGUAGGGAGCAAGCGCUGUCCGGAUUUACUGGGUGUAAAGGGCGUGUAGGCGGAGACGCAAGUCAGGAGUGAAAUCCCCGGGCUCAACCCGGGAACUGCUUUUGAAACUGCGUCCCUUGAGUAUCGGAGAGGCAGGCGGAAUUCCUAGUGUAGCGGUGAAAUGCGUAGAUAUUAGGAGGAACACCAGUGGCGAAGGCGGCCUGCUGGACGACAACUGACGCUGAGGCGCGAAAGCGUGGGGAGCAAACAGGAUUAGAUACCCCGGUAA
rnacentral:rRNA from 1 species